AAAUAAGUAAGCUAAAAAAGCUUUUAGGCCCAUACCCUAAAUAUAGAAAUUUUAUUUUUUUUCUCUUAUUUA
rnacentral:tRNA from 1 species